ensembl:lncRNA
CUUGAAUAUUAGUGGGAGUUUUGGAAGAUUCUAUUUUUCUGAAAGAAUCUGCAGUAGGGUUUCAGUUUCAUUUUAUUUUUUGUGCAACAGUAUUAAAUCCUGAAACGUACUUCUGCAAAGAAUAUAUGAGGAUCUCUUAAUAACCCUUGUUGUACUCCAAAGGAAGAGGUUGCAGUUGGUAGGGACAGUGAUUCAAGCCGUAUCUCCACUGUCUCGGCAGUAACAACUGACUGUCCUGCAUAGAGCAAUGACCUCAAACACACCCUUCAAGUGAAAAGAAAAAUUAAAUGUUCAAGUUCCGGUACUAUCUUGUCUGUUUGAUGCUCACUUGACGCUGGUCCAUUUCGCCACCGCUAUCUCCAGCAGACACACCCCGCCAGCCGUCAGACGGGAGCUGGACAUGAGAAUGAUGGUAGUUGUACACGCAGACGAUGCUGCCUUCAAGUACGGCUUUGCUGCCCACCCCAAUGAUACCAUAAUCAAAUGUGGUCAGGAUACUACAGUGUUUGGACCUGAAAUUGUCAGCUUAGAGUUCAGAAAACAGUCCACUGAACAAAUUCAAAACUAAAGAAAUC